AAAAUCGGAACACAGUCUAAGACCGCCCCGUCCUGUGGCAACGACUGUGUGACCCACAUCCUGUGGG
rnacentral:sRNA from 1 species